UACGUAGGGUGCGAGCGUUGUCCGGAAUUAUUGGGCGUAAAGAGCUCGUAGGCGGUGUGUCACGUCGGCCGUGAAAACCUGCAGCUUAACUGUGGGCGUGCGGUCGAUACGGGCAUCACUGGAGUUCGGCAGGGGAGACUGGAAUUCCUGGUGUAGCGGUGAAAUGCGCAGAUAUCAGGAGGAACACCGGUGGCGAAGGCGGGUCUCUGGGCCGAUACUGACGCUGAGGAGCGAAAGCGUGGGGAGCGAGCAGG
rnacentral:rRNA from 1 species